rnacentral:rRNA from 1 species
UACGGGGGGGGCAAGCGUUGUUCGGAAUUACUGGGCGUAAAGGGCUCGUAGGCGGCCAACUAAGUCGGAUGUGAAAUCCCCAGGCUCAACUUGGGAACUGCAUCCGAUACUGGAUGGCUUGAAUUCGGGAGAGGGAUGCAGAAUUCCAGGUGUAGCGGUGAAAUGCGUAGAUAUCUGGAGGAACACCGACGGCGUAGGCAGCGCCCUGGACGACACCUGACGCUGAGGCACGAAAGCGUGGGGAGCAAACAGG